rnacentral:lncRNA from 1 species
UAAAUUAAUACUGUUCGCAUCAUUUCUCUAGCACGUACUCGCUUCCUUAGUGGUGGGGUUGGGGGGCACAGCCCAUGGGGGAGCGCCUGGCCUCAGUCCCCCGCAGGUGAUCCCACUCAGCCCUGUUCCCCGACCAGUGGCAUCCCAGAAGCUCAGCCCUAACUUUCCCUGGGGAAUUCGGUCCCUCCCAAGCACACCCAGAUGAUGUCUGCGUGGGGGCCUCUGGGGUAAGCGGCUUGAAAAGCUCCCUCCCCUGGUAUUCUAAUGAGCAGGCAACCUCAGAACCACCACCCCGAGGAACAAGAGAAUAUUCACGGCACCCCGUUCCUGACAGCGAAACGACACGGUACCACCCAAACGCUUGCCAGCAGCGUCCUGCAGUAACACGCCGCGGUGUAGCUCUGCCUCGGAACACGAUGCAGCAGUGCGCACGGACAGCAGCAGUGAUGAACCUCAGAACACACGGGGCUGGGCAGAAACAGCUGCACCCAGCUGCAUUCGCCGUCUGCCUCUUGGGCCUCGGGGGACACUGCCCCCUGCAGGCCCUCCGCACAGCUGCACCGACUGUCAUCGGCCAAGGACCUACUGGGAAAGGCCUCCUCUUGGUUCUACUUCAAAUCCAGGAAUAUUUAUUGAGUCUUCUCUGGGUCAAGUAUGGAGGUCAGUAGUGCACCGGACACAGUCCUUGCCCUCAAGAGCCUAACUUCCGUGGAAGAAGACAAAGCAAGCCAUCACGCACGUCGUCUAAGGUGGCGUGAAGGUCCGCGGCAGGUGCUCAGAGUGUAUCCCCCAAGGUCCGGGCAGCAGCCGAGUAGCCAGAUGGAACCAGCAAACACAGGACGCCCACUGAAACGUCAGUUUCCGGUACACGAGUUGCUGCUAUGAAUAUUCCUGGCAGUCACUCCCCGAUGCAGGCCAACCCCGCCUACUCCCACGCAAGGGGCAACCGAAUGAUCACCUGUGCUUAGAGAUUCCCAUUUAGGCGCAAGCCUUGUCGUUUGCAGUGGGGUUCCCGAGUGAGACUGCCACAGCCCGGCCUCAGGGAACCCGGGCUCCACGGGUGUAGCCAACGCCCCGGGGAGUACAGAGGGACCUUUCUACAGGAGUCACACCUGAAACGGUCCCGACACCCAAGCUGUGAUGGGCAGGUGGGGCGGCACCGACCCCGACCCCGACACCCAAGCUGUGAUCGGCAGGGGGAGGGCACCGACCCCGACCCCGACACCCAAGCUGUGAUGGGCAGGUGGGGGGGCACCGACCCCGACCCCGACACCCAAGCUGUGAUUGGCAGGGGGAGGGCACCGACCCCGACCCCGACACCCAAGCUGUGAUUGGCAGGGGGAGGGCACUGACCCCGACCCCGACACCCAAGCUGUGAUCGGCGGGGGGGGGGGGCACUGACCCCGACCCCUACACCCAAACUGUGAUGCGCAGGGGGGGGGGGACUUACCCCCAAACUUAAACUGUGAUGGGGAAGGGGAGGGGAAGGGCACUAACCCCCGAC